rnacentral:siRNA from 1 species
UAGAAUAGUACCCUGCCACGGU